AGUCGCGUGGUCUAAUGGUUAUGAUUUCUCGUUCACAUCAGUUGAACUAGUUCCGAGAAGGUUCCCGGUUCGAUCCCGGGCGCGACUA